CCUGGAGACUCCUAUGGGAGGCAGCAGUAGGGAAUCUUCGGCAAUGGACGGAAGUCUGACCGAGCAACGCCGCGUGAGUGAAGAAGGUUUUCGGAUCUUAAAGCUCUGUUGUAAGAGAAGAACGAGUGUGAGAGUGGAAAGUUCACACUGUGACGGUAUCUUACCAGAAAGGGACGGCUAACUACGUGCCAGCAGCCGCGGUAAUACGUAGGUCCCGAGCGUUGUCCGGAUUUAUUGGGCGUAAAGCGAGCGCAGGCGGUUAGAUAAGUCUGAAGUUAAAGGUUUUGGCUUAACCAUAGUACGCUUUGGAUACUGUUUAACUUGAGUGAAAGAGGGGAAAGUGGAAUUCCAUGUGUAGCGGUGAAAUGCGUAGAUAUAUGGAGGAACACCGGUGGCGAAAGCGGCUCUCUGGCUUGUAACUGACGCUGAGGCUCGAAAGCGUGGGGAGCAAACAGGAUUAGAAACCCCUGUAGUCCUAG
rnacentral:rRNA from 1 species